UUGAAUCAACUACUAUGAAUUUUUAAAUAUCUACUUGAAGACAGUGCGUCAAUUAUGAAGGCUGAUAAUUUGAUUCAACUUGUCUGUACUUCCACAUCCUCAAAGCAUUAUCUGUAACCUACACGACAUUUCCAGAGUAAAGAAAAGAAAAAGAAGAACAAAUAUGAAUGGUCGCCUCUGGUUUGUCUAAUGCAGAUUUUCGAUCAGAUCGAGCUUCAUCCUUCCCCGCCAAUUUCACUGGACAAUAUGCAAGUUGAAUCUCUGACUCAAAUUGUUGCAUUCCUGCAGGAAUUUCUCGAAGGUUACAAGUCUCCUUUUGCUGACGGCGAUGAAGCAGAUCCGCUGGAGAUGCGCAUCGCAGACGCAGUUUACACGGCUGAAGACGCUAUCGAAUCUCACAUUGUGGAUCAAACUCUUUCUGCCGCCUCUGAAGAUAAAAGGGAUCCGCUUGGAAUCUUCAAUUGCUUUCGAGGCCCAAAGGAGACCCAAAAUGAUGGUCCAAUAAUUACUUCAAACUCUUAUGCAACCCCAUUUAUUGCUCACCAUUUUGAUAUAUGUGCUUGGGUUACAAUUUCUCAACAAUAUAACACAAAAGAACUUCUUUGUCAAAUUCUAUCUCAAGGUUGAGUAAAAUGAGAGCUGACAAAGAAAAUUUGUCUCGGGUGAAUAAGAAUUGGUUGAGUAGAAUGAGUGAAGAUGAAAUAGGAGUAGGAGUCCACAAAUGUUUAUCAUAUAGAAGGUUUUUGAUUGUGUUGGAUGAUACGUGGAGUGUUGAGGCAUGGGAAAAGCUACAACGCUAUUUUCCUAACAAUAGUAAUGCUAGUGUGGGAUAUCAACUAGAUAACUCUUAUGGCAUUAAAAUGAAAUAUAUGGACGAGAAAAGUAGUUGGAAUAUGUUCUGCAAAAUUGUAUUUAGGGGGACAAGUUGUCCUUUGGAAUUGGAGAAAAUUGGAAAGAAGAUUGUAGUGAGUUGCAGAUGACUUCCAUUAUCAAUCGGUGUGAUAGGAGGUCUUUUGGAAAAAGUGGAAAGAACCAAAAAUUGUUGACAAUCUAUACAGAUAAGCAUAAAUUCAGUAGUGAAUUUGGAGAAGGAUAAACAUUGCUUGAAAAUACUGAAGUUGAGUUAUAGCUAUUUGCCAGUUUAUCUUAAGCCGUGCUUUUUAUAUAUGGGAAUGUCUGAGGAGGAUAGUGAAAUUCGAGUCUCAAGACUCAUCCAUCCGAAGGAUUUCUAAAACCAGUUGGGGAAUACUGGAAACAUGAAGUACUUGAAAAUUCAUGAUAUGUUGAGAGAUGCCGAAAAGAAGAUGUUUUAUCAUGUGGUAGGGAAACAUAGUCCUCAAGGCACACGUAGCCAACGCCGUGUAGUAGUUCCAAGAAGCACUUCAAAGAAAGAGGUCCUCCAUGCGAUGCGAUCUACACCACAUAUCCGUCCCUAUACAAGUGAUCAUGAAAGAGUUCAACUGUUGCCCAAUCUAAGAUUAUUAAGGACACUGAAAGCAUGUGACAAUGGUCGCUCGGGACCUAUUGAAAAUGUUUGAGUUAAUUAGUUUGCGGCUUCCUGUUGUUAGAUCUCAUGGGUAUCCCCACCUUCCUUCUUCAAUCAAUCUUCUUUCGAGUCUACAAACAUUAAUUGUUUCACGUCUUACAGACGACAUUAAUGCACCUAUUGAAAUUUGGAACAUGCCUCAA